GGAUGAACGGGUUCCUGUACUGGGAGAAGCCAAGUACCAUUGACGUCGUAACUCGGGAAGAGGAGAGAAGGGGAUGGAGGCAUUGGUCAGGAUGCCGUACGAAGCGGCGGUGCGGAUGGCGGUGGCGUCGCUGGAGCGCAACCUCCUCCCGGACGCGGUGGUCCGGCGUCUCACGCGCUUGCUCCUCGCCAGCCGCCUCCGCUCUAGCUACCUCCCCUCCGCCGACCUCCAACUCGCCCGCCUCCUCGACUUCAAAUGCUGUAAGCCGCCACUUAUCUCAAAUUCUCUUCUUCGAUUGUAAUCCACUUCUUUAACC
rnacentral:lncRNA from 1 species